rnacentral:tRNA from 1 species
UCCCCGGUCGGUUAAUUGGCAGGCCGCGCGCUCUGGUCGCGGUAAUCGAGGUUCGAGUCCUCGCUGGGGAG